rnacentral:rRNA from 1 species
GCGGCGUGCUUAACACAUGCAAGUCGAACGGUGAAGCAGGAGCUUGCUCUUGUGGAUCAGUGGCGAACGGGUGAGUAACACGUGAGCAACCUGCCCCGGACUCUGGGAUAAGCGCUGGAAACGGCGUCUAAUACUGGAUACGAGGAGCGACCGCAUGGUCAGCUUCUGGAAAGAAUUUCGGUCUGGGAUGGGCUCGCGGCCUAUCAGCUUGUUGGUGAGGUAAUGGCUCACCAAGGCGUCGACGGGUAGCCGGCCUGAGAGGGUGACCGGCCACACUGGGACUGAGACACGGCCCAGACUCCUACGGGAGGCAGCAGUGGGGAAUAUUGCACAAUGGGCGAAAGCCUGAUGCAGCAACGCCGCGUGAGGGAUGACGGCCUUCGGGUUGUAAACCUCUUUUAGUAGGGAAGAAGCGAAAGUGACGGUACCUGCAGAAAAAGCGCCGGCUAACUACGUGCCAGCAGCCGCGGUAAUACGUAG